rnacentral:rRNA from 1 species
UAGCGUAGGGUGCGAGCGUUAAUCGGAAUUACUGGGCGUAAAGCGUGCGCAGGCGGUUUGUAAGUCUGUCGGUGAAAGCCCCGGGCUUAACCGUGGGAAUUGCGAUGGACGACGUGCAAGGCUUGAAUCUGGCAGAGGGGGGUAGAAUUCCACGUGUAGCAGUGAAAUGGCGUAGAGAUGUGGAGGAACACCGAUGGCGAAGGCAGCCCCCUGGGUCAAGAUUGACGCUCGAUGCACGAAAGCGUCGGGGAGCAAACAGG